ACGAACGCUGGCGGUUGUGCUUAAUACAUGCAAAGUCGAAACGAUGAGGUUUUCCUUCGGGGGCCAUCAGUGGCGGACGGGCUGAGUAAACGCGUAGAUAACGUGCCCCUGGACUGGGGGAUAACACCGGGAAACCCGGUGGCUUAAUACCCGCAUAAGUCGUGGCCUGAAAAUGGUUACGAUAUUAAGAUUUAUUGGUUUCAGGAUCGGUCUGGCCGUCUGAUUAGCUAGGUUGGUGGGGUAAAGGCUCACCAAGGGCAAUGAUCAGUUAGUUGGUUCUGAGAGGAUGACCAGCCAGAGUGGGACUGAGACACGGCCCACACUUCUACGGAAGGCAGCAGUAGUGGAAUUUUUGCGCAAUGGGCGAAAAGCCCUGACGCAGCAACACCGCGUGCGGGAUGACGGUCUUCGGAUUGUAAACCGCUGUCAGCAGGGAAAUAAUAUGAACUGUACCUGCAAAGGAAGCAUCGGCUAACUACGUGCCCAGGCAGCCGCGGUAAUACGUAGGAUGCAAGCGUUGUCCGGAAUUAAUUGGGCGUAAAGGAGUUCGUAGGCGGUUUGCCUAAGUCUGGUGUUAAAUACAGGAGCUCAAACUCCUGCAUGGCACUGGAAACUGGGCGGCUAGAGUGUUGGUAGAGGUCACGGGAAUUCCAGGUGUAGCGGUGAAAUGCGUAGAAUAUCUGGAGGAACACCAGUGGCGAAAGCGCGUGACUGGGCCCACAACUGACGCUGAGGACGAAAGCCAGGGGAGCGAAAGGGGAUUAGAUGCCCCUGUAGUCCUGGCCGUAGGUAAACGAUGGGAUACUAGGUGUAGGAGGAUUCGACCCCUUCUGUGCCGUAGCUAAACGCGAUAAUAAGUAUCCCGCCCUGGGGAGUACGACCGCAAGGGUUUGAAACUCAAAGGGAAUUGACGGGGGGGCCCGCAACAAGCGGUUGGAACAUGUGGUUUUAAAAUUCGAUGCAACGCGAAGAAACCUUACCUGGGCUUGACAUCUACGGAAAACCUUUCCGGAAAACGGGGAGGGUGCCUUUCGGGAGCCGUAAGACAGGUGGUGCACGGUUUUGUCGUCAGCUCGUUGUUCGUGUGACAGAUGUUGGGUUUAAGUCCCGCAACGAGCGCAACCCUCGUGGUCUGUUGUUACAGGUCGUAAGAUGCUGAACCCUCAGGCCAGACUGCCCGGUGGACAAACCGGAGGGAAGGUUGGGGAUGACCCGUACCAAAUCAUCACCGCCCCUUAUGUCCAGGGCUACAACAACGUGCUUACAAUGGGUAAGAGACAAUGGGGUCGCUUAGCAGCGAUUGUCUGGCAAAUCCCAGAAAACUCUCCCUCAGUUCGGAUGUUCGUAGUCUGCAACUCGACUACGUGAAGUCGGAAAUCGCUAGUUAAACGCAGAUCAGGCACGCUGCGUUGAAUACGUUCCCGGGGCCUUGUACACCACCGCCCCGUCCACACCACGAAAAGAAGGUUAUUGCCCGAAAGUCGGUGGCCCUUAACCCGUAAGGAAGGGAGCCGCCCUUAAAGGUGGAACUUUUGAUUGGGGUG
rnacentral:rRNA from 1 species